GACGAACGCUGGCGGCGUGCUUAACACAUGCAAGUCGAACGGAAAGGCCUGCUAUCCCUUGUGGAUUGCGGGUACUCGAGUGGCGAACGGGUGAGUAACACGUGAGUGAUCUGCCCCCAACUUGGGUAUAAGCCUGGGAAACUGGGUCUAAUUCCCGAUAGGACUGCAGGGUGGUGCCUGUGGUGGAAAACGAUUUUCUAGUGGUUGGGGAUGAGCUCGCGGCCUAUCAGCUUGUUGGUGGGGUAAUGGCCUACCAAGGCGGCGACGGGUAGCCGGCCUGAGAGGGUGGACGGCCACAUUGGGACUGAGAUACGGCCCAGACUCCUACGGGAGGCAGCAGUGGGGAAUAUUGCACAAUGGGCGGAAGCCUGAUGCAGCGACGCCGCGUGGGGGAUGACGGCCUUCGGGUUGUAAACUCCUUUCGACCGCGAGGAAGCCACCUGGUUGGAAGGGUGGUGACGGUAGUGGUAGAAGAAGCACCGGCUAACUACGUG
rnacentral:rRNA from 1 species